CCGUCUGCAGCCCCGCCGCGAAGCAAGACCGCGCCGCUGCCAGUCCAGAUCUGCGGCGCCGUUGCUCUUCCGCCACUGCCCAACCGUCUCAGCCGGUUCUGUCUCCGUCGAAGUCAAGGCCGCCGCGUGAACCUGUAACCGCCGUGUCUCUCCGCGCCGUUGUCCAGAUCUGCAACGCCGGGUCCCCACCGGUAGCCCCGUCCCAAUUGUUUUGCCGACGCUUAUCGUUCAGAUACGAGCCGUGUAGCAUCCAACAGUUGUGCAUCGUGAAGUCCUCAUCUAUUGCGCAACUCCUCGUUUUCCAGUCGCGGGUCCGACGUCCAUCUUUAUUGUAGUGCAUAUCUGUUUUGCACGCAUCAGUUUCAUUCGAUUGUCGCUGAUUCUGUUCUGUCGUCAAUCGUCAAAGCUAUGUUGUGAUUUCAUUGGUGAUAUUGGAGAGCUGUGCUUGGAUAUUUAAGUUUCGAAGUGAACUUCAUUGGAAUUGUUGCCUCAUUCUACUUGGAAUUUAAUUUAUUGGAUUUAGUACGAUUGAAGAACUUUACGUAAACUCGAGGCAAAGGAAAUAAAGGUGGCAAACCGGCGAGGGGCAGGAAGGAAGCGUGAUUGCCA